GAUGAACGCUGGCGGCGUGCCUAAUACAUGCAAGUCGAGCGAACGGACGAGAAGCUUGCUUCUCUGAUGUUAGCGGCGGACGGGUGAGUAACACGUGGAUAACCUACCUAUAAGACUGGGAUAACUUCGGGAAACCGUAGCUAAUACCGGAUAAUAUUUUGAACAGCAUGGUUCAAAAGUGAAAGACGGUCUUGCUGUCACUUAUAGAUGGAUCCGCGCUGCAUUAGCUAGUUGGUAAGGUAACGGCUUACCAAGGCAACGAUGCAUAGCCGACCUGAGAGGGUGAUCGGCCACACUGGAACUGAGACACGGUCCAGACUCCUACGGGAGGCAGCAGUAGGGAAUCUUCCGCAAUGGGCGAAAGCCUGACGGAGCAACGCCGCGUGAGUGAUGAAGGUCUCCGGAUCGUAAAACUCUGUUAUUAGGGAAGAACAUAUGUGUAAGUAACUGUGCACAUCUUGACGGUACCUAAUCAGAAAGCCACGGCUAACUACGUG
rnacentral:rRNA from 1 species